UUUGGCGAUUAAUAUCUAGGUUGACUAACCUAUGUUUAUAAGACAUAUAUUCAUAUCACUGAAUGACUAAAUGAAGUCGCUGACGCACCCAAUAUUGCUUUGAGAGCCUAAAACUAAAUUUUACAAACCAUGUGAAAUAUUCACCCUUUGCCUUAAUUUAUUGUAAAUUUGUUAGGAAAUACGACUUCGUUGUAUUCAGUGAAAGUGUUACAGAAUUAUGCAGUGAAAAGGCUUCACGAAAUGGGCAGGUGUUUGGUCAUUUUACAGUUCUCCCAGUAGGUGACGCCCUCCGCUAACGUGGGAUGUGGCGCACGAUGGGGAGGCACCGUUGAGUUGAACCUAACGAUCAUCAUUUCGUCAUCAUUUGUAACCAUAGAGCAUGAAUUACCUCUUGAAGUCAUCAGAGAGAAUUUACGACUGGUCAACAAAGGCACGUGAUGCCCUAACGCUCUCCCAUAUUUGGCCGCAUACAUGGCAAAAACGAAGUACAGUGCAUUGCUAUAAUUCAUUAUUACAUCAUAAAUUGUGCGGCGCUGGAUUUUAACGACCAAGAUCUACAAAUCAAGACAUUUUAAAACAUCCAAAUGAGCUCUUAUUUUCUAAACUCGUUCUCAGGGCGCUAUCCAAAUGGGUCUGACUAUCAGUUACUAAAUUAUGGUACUAACGGCGCUAUGAACGCUUCUUACAGGGACUCCACCAGCAUGCAUUCCGGGUCUUUCGGUUACAACUACAAUGGAAUAGACCUUAGUGUAAAUCGUCCCAACAAUGGCCAUUUCGGAGCAGGUGGAGAUAAUUCUCGCGCUUUCCAAAAUCCGGGUCAGGAGACCCAGUACAGACAGUCGAGCUGCUCGCUCUCGUCUCCAGAUCCCCUGUCUUGUGCCACCAGCGAAUCUCUGGAAUUGAAGGGUUCCUCUCCUCCAUCUGAUCAGAGCACACCAACCGGCAACAGCAGACUUACCAACAGCAACAAUCUCACCAGCAGCAACAGCACACAUUUUGCGGACACAGACGAGACCAACGUCUCGUCCGAGACCGAGGAUGGCGCACAGACCACCACCACCACACGUACGCAGAAGCAAGAAUCUGUGGCGAGCUCGACUACAACACCUAACGACGGUCAAACUCCACAGAUAUUCCCAUGGAUGAGGAAGCUGCACAUUAGCCAUGAUAUGACUGGACCUGAUGGAAAACGGGCUCGAACAGCUUACACUCGCUACCAGACGCUCGAGCUGGAGAAAGAGUUCCAUUUCAAUAGAUAUCUCACGCGCAGGAGGAGAAUAGAGAUAGCUCACACUCUCUGCCUCUCAGAGAGGCAAAUCAAAAUCUGGUUCCAAAAUCGCAGGAUGAAAUGGAAGAAGGACAAUAAACUGAAAAGUAUGAGUCUCGCUACGGCGGGGAGCGCAUUUCAAAAUUGAUCAAAUCAUUUCAUAAUAAUUGGAAAAUUCGACUACUGUUACAGCGCUGCACCUUUCAGCUUGUUGACAUCACCUGACGACGUGUGAUUCCCCCAUGCAACUCAAAAUGGUCAGCUUUUGAAUAUUGUUAUCACAUAUGCUAAACUAGUUACAAUUGCCAUAAAAUGAGUGUGAAUGUCAAGUGUGUCAAGUUUAUACAUUCGUGGAGGAAAGCAUGUUCCAUGUGAGCUAUUCGUGCAACCUAUUCUAGACAUGUUUCAAAAAUGAUGUACAGUACAACUCGCACUACCUAACUAUUUUAAAUGAUAGUGUAAAAAAGAUAAACUUUUGUUGUAUCCUUGAACUUGUAUUGAAUCGUAAUGUAUUCUUCACGCAACAUGCUAUAUUCUUGUUAUGUGCCGGGCUUUUUGAGUUCUCGUAGUUGAUACCUGCGAGAAAAAUAAUCUUUUCGCACUUACAUUUGUGUACUUAGGCUGCAGCACAAGAUUACUUUGGGCUCAUAAGAUGUCCUAUGAAGAAUGUCUUUAUACAGUAGUGACCAAUAUGUUAUUUGUAGUGCACAACGGACGUUCUGUGUUAAAAGUUGGAGAAAAAUGUUUUGUCAUUGACAUGUUGAUGGUAUCUCUGCCAUUUUUUUUUUUUUUUUUUUGUAUUUGUAUUUGUGUCUAAACUGAAAAUGAAUUGAUUCAAAAAGAAAAAUAAAGUUUACUCUCAGUCAAUGUUACUGUUUGUCUGUAGGCCUGUUUGGUGAGUGAUCCCAAUGCUGGACCAUGCAUUACUUAGGCAACUAGUUCUCAUUUUACCCACUAGUACCUCGCAUUUAUAUUUUACAAUUUAAAUAAUUAUUUUUCUCUUAAAUGAAAGCUAUAGGUGUUAAUGAGUCAUAUUGCGUACGACUAAUAAAACAAAGAAUAGUCCAUUCAGUUUUUGCUGCGCUCUGCGAGGACAUUUUGGACGUUACUGAAUAAUAUGUCUUAUAAUAUGGCAAUAUUCAAACUCAGCUCUUGUGUGUCACAUCACAACAAUAACUCAACCCCUCAACUUACCUCGCAGUGCUCAAAGCGGAUGAACAAAACGAUCUUUACAGGUUGUUUUAACAAUCUGCAUUAUUUGAAUGAAACACAACAUAUAAAUCAUCUUCCCUGACUAUUUUCUUCUGAAGUCCUGUCCAUAACACCAACAUGUAGCACUUGGUAGCUCUAAAAAAGUCACGUGAGGUCGAUAAAGUUAGUUUUAUGGUUUUAGGGGGGUUGAGAAUGUGCUACAUAAUUCACAUUCUUGAAUGUAACUGACUGUUUAACUGCUUCAGCGGGAUUCUAAAGGUUGUGGGCAGCAUGCGGAGUCUUCUCAAACUGGACAGUCGUAAUAUCCCAUGCUGACUUUUCUGUCAACAAUCAUUUUCAUAAUAUUUCUGCUGAAGAAGUCUGCUGUAGUUCUCAACAACAAGUGUAUCCCAAUGAGGCUACACGUGACCCUUUGAGGACACGUUUUCCACGUGUUAUUCUUCAAGCGGACAGCUGUAGACAAUGAGACGAAGGAACAUGACAAGAAACAGGUCAUCUUCCAGCGGGCCUCCGGAACCAUACUGUCACAUGACACGAGAGGCCAGAGUUUUGCUAAACCCCCAGAAAGGACCUAGCAUAACUGAUGAAAGCCGUCCAGAAAAUGCAAAUAACGAACAACAACAAGAACGUCUGUCUCACAAUGUCGCGGAAUUAUUUGUAACAAAGUCGUUAUGCAUCUGAACUUAUAGCAAAAUGCGUCAUGCCAAACAUAUUGGGUCAGUGACGCAAAAGACCAACUUAUGGAAUACUGAACGAGAUAAAGAGGACGUUAUAACAAGAGGGAAAUGUAGACUACACCAUCCUCAAUCAAGACUACUAACUCAUCAGUGUUUCUUCCUGAACUUAAGCAAUCAGCAAGUUCACUGUAUCACCAGCCCAUAUUUCACUGGAUGAGAAUUCAAGCAAACGCGACAAAGAGGAGCGCGGCGUUAUUUGGAGCGCAGGAGCGACAAGAAACCCCGGUUGGGAUUCAUUGCAUCAAAAAGAGCACGUAGGCUUCUGCUUUACACAAGUGACCAGCCUGAGAACUUCCACUUCAGCCCCUAUUUGUGCAAGCGGAGACGCGUGGUCAGUUUACUCAAACUCAAAUUUGGUUUCAGAACCGGAGGAUGAGAGAGAGAUAGAGAGAGAGAAAAGACUGUAGGCUGAAAAGAAUGUCUCUCUUAGCUGGACCAUCUCUGACCAACACCCACCACCACCGUCUUGAGUGAAGCUUCAAGAGAUUUAUGCAUGGCAUCUACAGUGCCUCAGGUGAAACGUCCUUUCGCAAAUAUGACUGGAGAAGAAUAGCUGAGUAUCCAGUCUAUACAUUAAUGGCAUUCUCUGUCUCUUCUGGACAAUUUCCACAAAACCAUUCUGUCAUGUUCCCAGAGCGCAUAUUAUAAUAAAGUCCCCUUCAAAUGAUUAAAUGCCACUUUCAUGUAACAUUUCCAAAAUGAAAGUUUAAUGGUAAAUAAGCAUUAUAGUAAAGUAGCUGAUUAAUUUAAUAACGUUACAAUGGUUAACAAAUCAGUAAAAUUAUUGUGUGAAAAUUAAUAGCCGAAUUUGACAUUUAAGUGCGUGUUAUUUUUAUUUAGGCUAAGUAUUGCUUCUCCCGAUGUUAAUUUGAAAUGAUCUAAUCAGUUUAGGCUAUCUGUGACCAUUUACAACUCUUAUUAAUAAUGUUCUGUAUUCGAAUGGAGAAUGUCUGUCACAUGUAUUAAAAGUAUCUUUAGAUUUUAGGAAGGAAUCCUAUAAUUAGAAACCAAAGACACGUUUCCCAAACUCCCUCUGUGUAGGAGCAAAGUAUUAUAGCAUCACACGAACUUAUUUUAAUGAGAGAUUAUAUCUAAGCAUCAUUUUAAAAAGUAUGGUGGCCCACUAUAUCUCGAGAGAGAUAUAAAACCAAUCUCAGGCAAUUGGUGUAUAUGGGGUGCAGUUAAAUCAGGAACUUAGAUUUGAUUCAAGAAACUUUCUAGAAAACAAAAAAACUCAAAGGCUGACUAUUUCAAUUAAAUGGUGUAAGUUAUUAUGCCUAAAAUGAAUUUAAGGCCUGUUUAUUUAUAGCUCGUUCUCUUCGCCGUCAUGAAUCCACUAUAAAUUCGUUGUUAUAACUGCUGUGCUCGCUUUAAUUCACAUUAGACCUACAUUGCGAGUAUAUCAAAUUAAUGGGUGGAUUCGAUUGAUGUGUUUGUCAUGUAAAUACGAAUCGUUUGAUGGACACCUGCAACGCCCAGAGUGCUACCGCAGGUCGCACACUAUUGGUGCAGAAUUAGUCACAUGAUCUGUCACUUAACUGAUAUGAGCUUGGAUAGAACUUUGUGUGGUUUGACAUACAGCUUAGAGGUUGUAGGGGCACUGGGACCACACAUCAGCCUGUAUUGACCCUGCUUAAUCAAUUUUGCUUGGUCAGUCAACA